UCCCUUUCCACUGUGUGAUGAGCAGCUC
rnacentral:piRNA from 1 species